UACGGGGGGAGCAAGCGUUGUUCGGAUUUACUGGGCGUAAAGGGCGUGUAGGCGGCCACCGCAAGUCGACUGUGAAAUCUCCGGGCUUAACUCGGAAAGGUCAGCCGAUACUGCGGGGCUAGAGUGCAGAAGGGGCAACUGGAAUUCUCGGUGUAGCGGUGAAAUGCGUAGAUAUCGUCAAGAACACCGAUAGUGAAGACAGCUUACCAAGCUUCAACUGACGCUGAGGCACGAAAGUGUGGGGAUCAAACAGG
rnacentral:rRNA from 1 species